rnacentral:lncRNA from 1 species
UCCAUCCAGAACCUGAGUGCUGGGGAGCAGGGACUUUGCACCCUGUUGUCCCAUUCACUUUCAGACCCACUUUAUUCCAAUUACAAAAGGAAAACCGGUAUUUAAAUCCUUUUCCCAUUUUACAGGCUCUGGGAAGGCCAGACAGGAACAGCAGGGGCAACUUGUGUUGAAUUCGCAGCAACUUUUCCCCCAAAAUGUUCUUCACAGCAGCACUAAAUUAGCACUAAAUUAGCUUUCCCUUAAUCUAGCAACAAGUAAAGAAGCUUUCUGCAAAAAGAAAUAUAUAUGAAUAAAUAAAUCAAUCAAAACAUCAGAGCUCUGCUUUGAGUUCAGGGCUGACUUCUCCAUCUUGCCCAAAUGACUUAGGAGCACAAGCCCUCCUAGUAACAGAUUUUCAUAGACAUUUACAUGCUGAGAUAUCCCGGACCGAUGGAGUGUCCCCAUCUUGCUGUGGCCCUCCCUGCCACCUUCACCACAACAGCAGAUGCCUGCAGGUGCUCCAGCUGCAAGGUUUCCGUGGCGCUGCAGCCGCGACCUUGGGUCUUUAUUGGCUCUCCGAAUGGACCCUUUAUAGACUCCAGAUGGAAAGUAUAAAAUUAAUAACCCCUGGCUGGCAAACACCCAUAUGUUUUCCACCUUCUCCUGAGAUACAAUUUGUUUAUGGUGACAUUUAUUUAAUGCAAAUUAACAUAUAAAUGAAGAUGCAUGGCUCUUCCCAGAGACCUGAGGAAACUGGUUUGUGUGGUGCUAGAGGUGCACGGCCACAUCAACCACCCACCAGAAAGGCUCCUUUGGAAUUACCUGGAGCCUUUUUGAUUCUCUCCAGCCAGGAGGAAUUCCACCAGCCUCCCUCCAGGCCCAUUUUCUUUAACAAUAUAUUCCAGGCUGACCCUGGAGGUGCUAAUUGCUCUUUAUCUAAGACAACUGUUUCUCCCACCCCACCAGUGCUUUUGGUGGUCGAAGGAAUACAAUGCAUUAUCAGGAAACGAGAUACAUGUGUACAAAGGGUAUUGACUGGCGGGAGGUUAAAGAUACAGCACAAAGAGAGGCAGCCUUACAGGGGUACCCUGUUAACUAGUGAUGGAUGAGCCACUGGAAGAAGAAAGCUCUCCAAGGUUGGGCUGAUAAGACCCCAGCCACUUGGUGCCUCCCCAAGGUGCCACGACCAGGACCAACCUCUACACCUAUCCCUGGCUCCGGCCUCCUUCUCCUCCUUUUCUUCCUCCUCCUCCCAGCAGACAACCCAGGACAGGCCAAACUUGGCACGGAAAACCCUUCCACAAAGCCACCCCUGCGUCCCGUUUGUCCGCCAACGACCUUAGUUAAACCGGCGCAAGUUUCUUAAUUCCACGCCAGCCUAAGCCUUUAAAAACUGUUGACUUUCCAGAAAAGCAGGAAGUGGGUAAACACAGCGAUUGGCUGCUCUUCCUGCUGACCACAUGUCACCAGAAUGCAGGGGAAAAAAAAAAAUUCUAUUAGGCUUUUAUUUAACAUGAAUUUGAAUGUAUUCCAGGUCACUGAUCACAUAAGCGAUCACGAUACGGGUAAUAAAGAAGUUCCUACCAUACCUUUAUUUGCUUUCUCCCUGUAAUAAAUCUUUAUCACACACUGGGCUGAUUGCAACAGUAUCACUUCCUUUUUUUUUUUAUUUUUUUUUUCCCUCCUGUUUUAUAGGGCAGCAAAAAGCCAACUGGGCCCAUCUGCAAGCACACCCAAUGGCGCUGGGAUGGGAUGGCAAACAAAAGGCAGCCAGGGCAGCCACACUGCUGCCUUGAAGAACCAAGGGUUGACUUCCCUGGGUGCAGACCCCAACCUUCACAUGCUGCAAAACCCCAUGCAUGAUCCUUUGUGACUGCAGGAAAAGGGGGAAUCGUAGCGUGGCACUGAGGGACGUGGUUAGUUGGAUAGUGGGUGCAGUGUGGACGGGUUGAUGGUUGGACUUGGGGAUCCUUGUGGUCUUUUCCAACCUGCGUGAUUCCAUGACUGUGUCAUAGUAGGAAAUAUCAACCUGUGUGCUUUCUUAGUAAGUGAUCAUUAAGACGGUUUAAUAAACGAUCCAAGUGACAGCCCUAUGCUAGAACAGCCUCGAAUCAAACCAUUCUGCACAGGGAAGAAUUUUUGCUCCCUGUAAACCAAAAGUAAUGGGUCAAAGGGAAAUGAAUCCUGAGCAGUUCCCUGCACUUCUGAGCAUUUGGUGUUCUGGACCCCAUUCUCCCUCGUACCCUCAUGCUUAAUCCUCCUCAUUUGAAUGAUUUGCAUCCAAAUCUCUCCAUUUUUGUCCUUUCAUUCUCGAGCACACGAUGUUAGUUCCCGCUAAUACAAGGGCAUCAAUCGCCUUCAUCUUCUCCUAUUUAAUGAUAUUUAUUCAUCAUCGCAUGGGAGAGAAAUUGGCUGCAGCUCAAUUUGGCAAAAUAAAUUGGGACCAGUUCAAGCGUAAUCUCGCUAAACACACAGAUUUUAAUCCCCCCCCCCAAGUGAAGCACACUGCAUCUGCAAUGGAUGUCCUUGGUUCAAGAUCCAGAUGCUGAUUUCAAACUCCAGAAUCUCCCACUGCUUGCAGAGCUCACUUUGUGAGGACCAGGGACUACGUAAAUUCAGAACAGCUCCAGCACAGCUUUGCUCCUGUUGUCCUUAAUUGCUUGAAUACUGAGCAGGUUGAUAUUGUGAUUAUUUGUAGACAUUUAUACCAUCCCAGGCCUUCUUCUUUAUAACUUUAUUUCAUUUUCUGCUGUUUACUCACAACUACCUUUAUCACCGCACGCUGAUAGUCUGUUCUUUAUUGCCCCGGUGUGAUUGCAAGGAGUUUGAGCACAACCCAAUAACACACAUAUAUAAAUAUUUGAACAGGAAAAGAAAGUCUGUCUCAUUCAGGCUAUGGAAGGAGGGAAAAAUGAAAACAAAUAAUACCGCUAGAGGGACCUUCACACUGAACCACGGUGGAGGAGAGGUCACACACAGCCUCCACGAGUGGCACCGAUGGGACCCGCGGUGUCGGCAUGGAGCUUGCAAGCAGCAGCACCGCAUGCAUGCAGGGCUCGUUGUUUGCCGAGGAUCACCCGAAUAAUUCCACUUGAGCACAACAAACGUGUUUUGUUUUUGCAGUUAAAGAGCUGAGUCCUUUUAAUUAGUUGACUCGGGCCUUUCUGCAUGCGGUCCCCACGCACUGUGGCUGGUUCAAAGAGGAGCCUCUCUGUGUGUUUUCGCUUUUCUUCUCUUUUCUUUCUCCCCUUUAACACUGCGUGUGAAUAGUUGAAGACGGGAGCGAAAGACAUUGGACUUAGAAAGUAAAAUCUCCAGGAAGCAAAAAUGGAGGCAAACACAGGAGCUAAUUUAGGCAGGCAUAGCUGGUGUUGUUUGUGGUUGUCCCUGACAGCGCUGCUGACUCUAAAGCACCUGUGUUUGCUCACUAGCUUUCCCCAAUCUGCUAGAAAAUGGCCCUAGCAUGUCACAUGGCAGCGAGAUAGUCCGAGCGCCAUGGGAAUAAAAAAGCCUGAGCUUUUAACGGAGUUAAUCAUUAAUGCGCCUUUUCUUUGUCCCAUUCAGGAGUGCUGACAAGCGCUUUGAUAUUUCAUAUUUGCCAUCAGGUCAGCGGCAGUCAUACCCAGGUACUAAUGAGCGCCCUGGCUCACGCCUCCCUGUUUCAUGGCCCGCCUGAAGAUUUCGUCCCACUUGCCCUCAACCACAGCUACACGCAUAUAUAUCCCUGUCUAUAUGUGUGUGCAUGUCCCUGCUUCCAUGUCUGAAUGCAUCCCUGCAUAUAUGCACAUAGGCAUCCCUGUGUGCACACCCGAGCAACACCCAUGGGUGCAGCGCAUGCUCAGGAGAUCCCAGUUCAGGCACUUUUAUCCCCUCCUGUAGACAAAACCCAGGGCUCCCAGCUCCAGAUCCAAGCCCUGUGCUCCAUAUUGGGCAUCUCAAUGCAAUGCUUUGUAUCCACGAGCAGCUGUCAAUGCGUGCGCGCACUUCGGGGUUGAGCAAAUAAUCCCCAGUGAAUAAUGUAUGUGCGGGGAGGAAUGCAGGCUGCACUACUCGCCCCCAGUCCUGGCUGCCAGCAGCGUGUUUUCUGCAUCGUGCUUCUUCUCCCAGUUUGUUUGCCCUGAUGCACCCAGGUUUCCCUGUUCAUUGCAGGGGAAUUAGACUAGGUGACCUUUGAAGGUUUCUUCCAACUCCAACAAUUCUAUGAUUCUUUGGUUCUAUGGUUCUGAUUCCAUGAUUCUAUGGGUCUGUGAGCCUAUGGUUCUACGAUUCCAUGAUUCUAUGAUUCUACGGUUCUAUGAUUCUAUGAUUCUAGGGGUCUAUGAAUCCAUGAUUCUAGGGGUCUAUGAUUCUGUGGGUCUAUGAUUCUGUGGAUCUAUGAUUCCAUGAUUCCAGGGGUCUAUGUUACUAUGAUCCUAUGAUGCCACGAUUCUAUGAUUCUAUGUGUCCAUGGUUCUAUGACUCUAGAUGCACUGCUUGGGAACCAGUUGUAUGAAGGCAUGAUUACAAAGGAGACUGAGAAUGCUCGUCCUCCCUAAGAGCAGCAAGGCACUGCUAUUCUGUUGUCUGGCUUGGCCAAUAAAUGCAGUUGUUUGUGCCAGCACUGAGUAGAAAAACCUAUCCCUCAGCGUAAAGGCCAGGCAGGUCAGCAGGCCUCCAUAAAGCUGCUGUGCAAAGAUGAUUUGUGCUGGCUUCAACGAGAAUCACAGUCAAACUUCAAGGUGCUUGAACCUUUCCCUUGACUCGGGCAGAGACUGACAGCACAUUUCACUCCUCCUCGCCGGGGUUGGAUGCUGACAGAAUUGCAUCAGUGAGCUCACCGAGGGGACCUCCUGUCUGUGUUCAUGUAGUGUGGGGAGGAAAACAUGGCUGGAGCUGCCGAUGCUGCCAGCACAGCAGGGAGGUGCAGCCAGGCAUCGCAGAAGGUUGCACAAACCUGGGCUUCCUUCAGCAUCCCUCUGGGUUGGAAGUGUGUGCAGCGUGAAAUUAAUGAGCUAUUCAUAGAACCAUCAUAGAGUCAUAGAAUCAUGAAGGUGGAAAAGAUAACCGAGUCCAACCACAGCUCACCCCCACCGUGCCCACUGACCACGUCCUGCAGUGCCACAUCCCCACAGCUUUGGGAUGCCUCCAGGGACGGUGACCCCACCACUCCCUGGGCAGCUGUGCCACUGCCUCACCGCUCUUUCAGGAAAUAAACUGUUCCUAUCAGCCAACCUGAAUUCAGCCCUAAGCUUUUCAGUCUCCUUUUGCUGAGAUAUGGUGACUGAGCCACUUGGCUCCAUACUCCUCUUAGAUUAAAGAGGGAACUGCCAAAAAUGUCACAGAUUUCAGAGGCCGGCUAGUGGUGACUCACCCAGAUAACGCUCUCAAGGACGUAUAGGGAGCCCGGAACCGUAGUAUCAUGCGACAGAGCCACAUCUGGAGAAAUGGCCAAGGUCACCCCACCACUGGCUCGGGCCCCCACAGUGCCAGGUGAGGAAAAUCCUGCUCCGUAAAACUCACACUGGACAGAGAGGCAGAAGGGGAAGCGGGAGAAGGUUCGACCCCGGUUUGCACACAGAGAUAGGCCAGGAUUAGUCCCUUUAGUCUCUUUUAGCUCAUGCUGGCCACAAAGCUCUAAUCUAAGAGGAGAACUCCUGAGGCUGUGAUUGGACCUGGAAGUCAAUUUGCUGCGAGCAUCCUAUGCAGAGUUGAAGCCAGCCAAAAAGGAAGCCUUCCUGGAAAAAUAACAAAGGAUCCAUCCCGGAGAAGCAUCUUCUCAAAUAUCCUCGAGGCAGAGAUAGCACUUCUGUCCGCUCCCGAGUCUACUGAAGCGUAACGCAGCCAGGCAAGGGAGAGCCUCGAUCUCUGUAUUGCUUGUGCAACGGUGUGAGUUUAAAACCUGUCGGAACAUGGUCCUGCCCCAGCUGUUCUUGCACUGACCGUGCAGGCAGAUGGCUGGCAGCAGCAAAGCUCCGGCUGCAGAAAUCCGUAAGGAUCCCCACCGACCGCUUUUGCAUACAAUCCUGCCGGGGCCGCCUGCCCGCACCGCUCGGCAGCAGAAACCUUCGGGGCGGUUCGGGGCAGGAGACGUCCCUUUGGCAAGCGGGGCAGCGCGGCUCUCCUGCCCGACGUGCCAUUCCCUUGCGCUUUGAUGUCCGCUGCCUUUGAGCCAUCUCUGCAUGUCAUUAGGGGCCCGGACAAUUAAAGAAGUGCCUUCGCACCCCCCCUCUCCCAACCCCUCCCCGCAGCGGAGGGGAAGUCGGAAAAAAAUAAAUACAUCGGCCAACACGGCGAGCCGAUGCGGGGCUGAGUUCGCCUUCGGAUCGCGGCCGUGAGAUGGGAAAGUCGCCCGCAGGGGAGCGGGAGGAGCCGCGACGGUGACAGCGACAGUGACUGCCGGUCCGGCCGCUCGCCGCCGGCUUUGGUGGCGGAUUGGGUGGGGAGUCCUUCUGCCGCCCGGGUACGCGGCUCCGUCCUCGGGGCGGUCGGAUGCCGCUCGGUCUCCCCGAAAGUCAAAUAAUAAAAAAAAAAAAAAUAGAAAUUUAAAAUAAUAAUAAUAAUUAAAAAAUCGAUCUGUGGGAAUGAAGGGCGGAAGCGGAGCUUAACGCGCUGCUCUUUCUGAGGGGCUGGUAGAGGGGAAAUGCGGCUGGGAGGGUUCGGAGGAGGCUGGGGAUGCUCGGGUGUAGAAAUAGGCUAUCUAUCUAUCUACCUGUAUCUAUUAAUAGCGAUACCAUACAAAUAACGAGUAGAGGAAGGUCGCGGAGUGCAGCCCCGCUCCCGCCGGGCUGGGGCUGCCCGUGGCCGGGAGGUGAGCCUCUCCCGGGCCGUUCCCACGCGUGUCCCCUCCCCGCACGGCGACACGAGUUCGGUGGCAGGUCAUUGGCGAGUGCUGUCCCCGAGAGCCCGUCACUGCCGGGCACCCGCUCGGUCGGAAGCAGGGACCUGGCACGGGGACGGGGACACGCGUGCACAACCCGCCCCCGGUCUCCGUGGGCCUCGAGAGACGUCUCCUUCCCGAGUCCCCGCGUGUGCGAUGCCACUCGUGUUCGUGCCCAGCGGCCGAGCCCCGGCCCCGUUAAACGCUCGUUUUCCUCUUUUUCACCGUGUUGCCAACGAGAAAAUGAGGAUGGGGUCUUUUUCCCUCCUGUUCUUGCCCACGCGGGGACGGGGCACUGCCUGUGGUACCGGCAGCGGCGCUUCCCCGUGACACGGACACGGGAGAAAUGCCGCUCGGAGAGAGGAACGAAAAAGCGCCGCGGAGCCGGGGAGGACAACGGAAUAACGCGCAAAAAGAGGGGGGAAACAAAAAAAGGAAAGGAAAACAAACAAACAAACAACAACAAAAUAAAGGAAAGAAAAGCAGGAAGAAGCGCGCGGCUCCUGGGGCAGCGGCGAGGCGCGGCGAGUCGGCUACCGCGCAGCCCCGUUCCUUCUCCGACGGCCCCACAACGACUCGAGCCCUCGGCAACGAGCUGUGGGGCUGCGGCCAGCCGCACCCCGCGCCCCGACCCGUCCCCACCCCGCUCCCGCGCGGGAAUCCCCCUCGGACCCCAAAUCCCCCUCCUCAGCCCCGGCUCCUCCCGGCCCCGCGCUCCCACGGCGACGCGGAGAGGCGGGGAGCGACGGCACCGGUCCGUAACGCACCCCAAAACCGAGACGGAGCCGCCGUCCC